CAGUGAGACCUCCAAGGAAGGAGAUGCCAAGUAGUGCUUCAAAGCUUCGGACCACAAUCAAACACAGCAUCCUUUUCAACAGAAGCAGAAGCUCAUCUGAAUAUGCUCAUGGAUGCUGACAUCAACAUUUAAUCAUCUCCUCACUCAUCCAGGAAGAGGGGGAGAUCAGUUACUACUGUACUUUAUUGUGUUCAACCAAAUCACCAUGUUACAAAAAUAGCAAGCUGCCAUAAUAAAAAAUAAGGCUCCUCUA
rnacentral:lncRNA from 14 species